rnacentral:rRNA from 1 species
GACGAACGCUGGCGGCGUGCCUAAUACAUGCAAGUAGAACGCUGAAGGAGGAGCUUGCUUCUCUGGAUGAGUUGCGAACGGGUGAGUAACGCGUAGGUAACCUGCCUGGUAGCGGGGGAUAACUAUUGGAAACGAUAGCUAAUACCGCAUAAUAGUAGAUGUUGCAUGACAUUUGCUUAAAAGGUGCAAUUGCAUCACUACCAGAUGGACCUGCGUUGUAUUAGCUAGUUGGUGGGGUAACGGCUCACCAAGGCGACGAUACAUAGCCGACCUGAGAGGGUGAUCGGCCACACUGGGACUGAGACACGGCCCAGACUCCUACGGGAGGCAGCAGGAGGGAAUCUUCGGCAAUGGACGGAAGUCUGACCGAGCAACGCCGCGUGAGUGAAGAAGGUUGUCGGAUCGUAAAGCUCUGUUGUAAGAGAAGAACGAGUGUGAGAGUGGAAAGUUCACACUGUGACGGUAUCUUACCAGAAAGGGACGGCUAACUACGUG